rnacentral:rRNA from 1 species
CACGUAGGGUGCGAGCGUUGUCCGGAUUUAUUGGGCGUAAAGAGCUCGUAGGUGGUUCGGUAAGUCGGAUGUGAAAUCUCCAGGCUCAACCUGGAGGGGUCAUUCGAUACGCGUGACUAGAGGUCGGUAGGGGAGUGUGGAAUUCCUGGUGGAGCGGUGAAAUGCGCAGAUAUCAGGAGGAACACCCGUAGCGAAGGCGGCACUCUGGGCCGAUACUGACACUGAGGAGCGAAAGCGUGGGGAGCGAACAGG